GACGAACGCUGGCGGCGUGCCUAAUACAUGCAAGUCGAACGCAGUGGGGACGGGUGAGUAGCACGUGGGUCACCUCCCAUCAAAGGGGAUAACACUUGGAAACAAGUGCUAAACCGCUACUGAUGGAUGUACCCGCGGUGCAUUAGCUAGUGGGUGAGGUAACGGCUCAACAAGGCGACGAGGCAUAGCCGACCUGAGAGGGUGAUCGGCCACACUGGGACUGAGACACGGUCCAGACUCCUACGGGAGGCAGCAGUGGGGAAUCUUCCGCAAUGGACGAAAGUCUGACCGAGCAACGCCGCGUGAGUGAAGAAGGUUUUCGGAUCGUAAAACUCUGUUGUUAGAGAAGCGGUAUCUAACCAGAAAGCAACGGCUAACUACGUGCCAGCAGCCGCGGUAAUUC
rnacentral:rRNA from 1 species